rnacentral:rRNA from 1 species
AACGAACGUUAGCGGCGCGCUUAACACAUGCAAGUCGAACGAGAAAGGGCUUCGGCCCCGGUACAGUGGCGCACGGGUGAGUAACACGUGGGUAAUCUACCCUUGAGCGGGGGAUAACGUUCCGAAAGGAGCGCUAAUACCGCAUAAGACCACGCUCUCGAAAGGGAGCGAGGUAAAAAGUAGGCCCUCUGAAUUCACGCUUACACUCGAGGAUGAGCCCGCGGCCCAUCAUGGUAGUUGGUAGGGUAAUGGCCUACCAAGCCGAAGACGGGUAGCUGGUCUUAGAGGAUGAUCAGCCACACUGGAACUGAGACACGGUCCAGACUCCUACGGAGGCAGCAGUGGGAAUCUUGCGCAAUGGGCGAAAGCCUGACGCAGCGACGCCGCGUGGGUGAUGAAGGCCUGGUCGUAAGCUCUGUGGGAGAGACGAAUAAGACGUGGCUAAUAUCCACGGCGAUGACGGUAUCUCCUUAGCAAGCACCGGCUAACUACUGUGCCA